CCCUUAGAUGUUCUGGGCAACACGCGCGCUACAAUGGUCUUCGCAAACGGAUGCAUUCUCGAAGGAGAAUACCAAUCUUGGAAUCUAUGCCUUGGUCGGGACUGUUGCUUGCAAUUUUUCGACUCGAACCAGGAAUUCCUUGUAAUCGUGAUUCAUCACAUCACGAUGAAUACGUCCCUGCCCUUUGUACACACCGCCCGUCGCUCCUACCGAUCGAAGAGUUAGGUGAAUUGUUUUGAUCGAUAAGAUUUGACUAUGGUCAACUCUCGUUGUGAAAUUCUGUGAAUCUGACUGUUUAGAGGAAGGAAAAGUCGUAACA
rnacentral:rRNA from 1 species